GUGAGAUGUUGGGUUAAGUCCGUACGAGCGCAACCCUUGUCCUUAGUUACCAGCACGUUAUGGUGGGCACUCUAAGGAGACUGCCGGUGGCAAACCGGAGGAAGGUGGGGAUGACGUCAAGUCAUCAUGGCCCUUACGGCCUGGGCUACACACGUGCUACAAUGGUCGGUACAAAGGGUUGCCAAGCCGCGAGGUGGAGCUAAUCCCAUAAAACCGAUCGUAGUCCGGAUCGCAGUCUGCAACUCGACUGCGUGAAGUCGGAAUCGCUAGUAAUCGUGAAUCAGAAUGUCACGGUGAAUACGUUCCCGGGCCUU
rnacentral:rRNA from 1 species